CUUCCAGGGAAAAGCCCUGCUCAGGCCUGCCCUGUGCACAGGGGCGGCCCCACGAAGACAGAAAGCAGCCCCAAGAGUCUCCCACCACGUCACAGCCCCUUCCCCACAGGCCCUCCCCUAGCACAGUCUGUUCUGGCUCAUAAUCAGUCACCAGGUUGCUGUGGAGGAGGCCUAGGGUAGAGGCUGGGCAGAGGAAUGAGAAUAGUAAUAACAGCUCUCAGCCGGGCGCAGUGGCUCAUGCCUGUAAUCCCAACACUUUGGGAGGCCAAGGCGGGUGGAUCACCUGAGGUCAGGAGUUCAAGACCAGCCUGGCCAACAUGGUGAAACCCCAUCUCUACUAAAAAUGCAAAAAUUAGCCGAGCAUGGUGGUGCAGGCCUGUAAUCCCAGCUACUCAGGAGGCUGAGGCAGGAGAAUCGCUUGAACCCAGGAGGCGGAGGUUGCAGUGAGCCAACAUCGUGCCACUGCACUCCAGCCUGGGUGACAGAGCGAGGCUCGGUCUCAAAAAAAAAAAAAAAAAAAGAUACCAAACUGACUAUAGAGUUCCAUAUACAUUACAGAAAAAAUAGGAAAUGACUACACAAAAAUAUUAACAGUAACUUUCUCUCUAGGUGGUGGGUGUGUGGGAGACCUUUUUUUUUUCACAGUUGUCUAUAUAUUUUUUUAUUUAUGGCUAUGUAUAUUUUUCUAAACUCUCUAAAUUGUAAUACUUUAAAAAUGUACACAAUGGAUUUCAUGUAUAUUCUUUUUUUUUUUUUUUGAGACAGAGUUUCACUCUUGUUGCCCAGGGUGGAGUGCAAUGGCAUGAUCUUGGCACACUGCAACCUCCGCCUCCUGGGUUCAGGUGAUUCUCCAGCCUCAGCCUCCUAAGUAGCUGGGAUUACAGGCGCAUGCCACUACACAUGGCUAAUUUUGUAUUUUUAGUAGAGACAGGGUUUUGCCAUGUUGGUCAGGCUGGUGUUGAACUCCUGACCUCGUGAUCCACCCACCUUCGCCUCCCAAAGUGCUGAGAUUACAGGCGUGAGCCACCGCGCCAGGUCAUAUGUUCUUACCUAAUGCCCACAACAGCCCUGGGAGGUGGGCACAAGUCUCUUUUUUUUUUUUUUUUUUUUGAGACAGAGUCUUGCUCUGUUGCCCAGGCUGGAGUGCAGUGGCGCAAUCUCGGCUGACUGCAACCUCUACCUCCCGGGUUCAAGCAAUUCUCUUGCCUCAGCCUCCUGAGUAGCUGGGACUACAGGCACAUGCCAUCAUGCCCAGCUAAUUUUUAUUUUAGUAGAGAUGAGGUUUCACCAUGUUGGCCAGGAUGGUCUCAAUCUCCUGACCUCAUGAUCCACCUGCCUCAGCCUCCCAAAGUGCUGGGAUUACAGGCAUGAGCCACCGUACCCGGACUUUUUUUUUUUUUUUUGAGAUGGAGUUUCGCUCUGUCACCCAGGCUGCAGUGAAAUGGCAUGAUCUGGGCUCACUGAAAUCUCUGCCUCCCGGGUUCAAGUAAUUCUUCUGCCUCAGCCUCUUGAGUAGCUGGGAUUAUCUUGAGUAGCUAGGAUUAUAGGCAUGCACCACCAAGCCUGGCUAAUUUUUUUAUUUUUAGUAGAGACAGGGUCAUGUUGGUCAGGCUGGUCUCGAACUGCUGAUCUCGUGAUCCACCCACCUUGGCCUCCCAAAGUGCUGGGAUUACAGGCAUGAGCCGCUGGACGAGGAGCCACAAGAGACUUGUGGCGCCCAGCCACAAGUCUCAUUUUUACAGGGCUUGGAAAAGACCUGCCCCAAGGCACGCAGCUAGCAAGAGGUGCAGAGCUGAAGUUGAAUGUGUCUUCUGAAUUUGAUUCCAAGCUUCAGGCACGUUCUUUUUUUUGAGACGGAGUCUCGCUCUGUCGCCCAGGCUGGAGUGCAGUGGUUCAAUCUUGGCUCACUGCAAGCUCUGCCUCCCGGGUUCACGCCAUUCUGCCUCAGCCUCCUGAGUAGCUGGGACUACAGGCGCCCGCCACCACGCCUGGCUAAUCUUUUUUUUGUAUUUUUAGUAGAGACGGGGUUUCAC
rnacentral:lncRNA from 1 species